AUGCUGCCGUGUUGGCUGUCUUUCUACGAUUAUAUCCUAGCUCUCCACGCCACCGCUGGCGACCUGGCUACCAGAAGCAGACGGACGCGGCCGGCGGCGCCUUCCAGGGGAGGCGGCCGUAGCGGAACCCGUGGACGCUGCCCCGGCGUGAGGUGGAGCGUCGGCGGAGCACUGGCGCGGCCCAGCCGAAGCACAGGCGUAGGCGCGUGCGGAGGCGGCGGAGCCCCUUGGCGGCGGCGCGGCGCAGGCGUCGCGCCCCGGCUAAGACGACCCGGCGCGCGCGCACGCGGGUCGAGAUCUCGGCGUCGCGGGAGAAGUGGUAGCUCCGGAGGAACAGCUGCCGCCGCUCCACCUGCCGCUCCCACUGCACCAUGUACUCCACGUACGGGUACGACCACGCCGUCGUCGCCAAAGUCUUCUCCGCCGCCGUCGCCGGCGACGCCACUUGCACAGACAUGGGCGCGGACAGGUUCUUGCCUGCUGGCUGGCUGGUUGGCUCUGCUCUGCUCUUGGUCUCUUGGUUCAAGCAAGAAGCUAGAAGAAAGAAGAAGUCCAAGCGCGUGCGCGUGA
rnacentral:rRNA from 1 species